UGGGGAAUAUUGCACAAUGGGCGCAAGCCUGAUGCAGCCAUGCCGCGUGUAUGAAGAAGGCCUUCGGGUUGUAAAGUACUUUCAGUCGGGAGGAAGGUGUCAAGGUUAAUAACCUUGGCAAUUGACGUUACCGACAGAAGAAGCACCGGCUAACUCCGUGCCAGCAGCCGCGGUAAUACGGAGGGUGCAAGCGUUAAUCGGAAUUACUGGGCGUAAAGCGCACGCAGGCGGUUGAUUGAGUCAGAUGUGAAAUCCCCGGGCUUAACCCGGGAAUUGCAUCUGAUAAUGGUCAGCUAGAGUCUUGUAGAGGGGGGUAGAAUUCCAUGUGUAGCGGUGAAAUGCGUAGAGAUGUGGAGGAAUACCGGGGGCGAAGGCGGCCCCCUGGACAAAGACUGACGCUCAGGUGCGAAAGCGUGGGGAGCAAACAGG
rnacentral:rRNA from 1 species